AGGCAGCUAGUUUAAACAAAACGUUUGAUUUCGGCUCAAAAGCUUGUGGUUAGUAUCCACAGUUUCCUC
rnacentral:tRNA from 1 species